rnacentral:rRNA from 1 species
UACGUAGGGGGCAAGCGUUAUCCGGAUUUACUGGGUGUAAAGGGGGCGCAGACGGCAGCGCAAGCCAGGAGUGAAAGCCCGGGGCUCAACCCCGGGACUGCUCUUGGAACUGCGCGGCUGGAGCGCAGGAGGGGCAGGCGGAAUUCCUGGUGUAGCGGUGAAAUGCGUAGAUAUCAGGAGGAACACCGGUGGCGAAGGCGGCCUGCUGGACUGCGACUGACGUUGAGGCCCGAAAGCGUGGGGAGCAAACAGG